GUUCACCGAUUCAUUAACAACUCUCCAUUAUGCUACCCGAACCUUCAUCCCCCAGAAAUACCUCCGUCUCCACUCAGCGUUUCUGUGUUACUAGCUUACUAGUACUUACUAGCUUCCUGACUAAAGGAAAUAAGGUUUAGAGUAACAUUCAGAGUAGAAAUAUUCAGGGUUGUAUGAAAGGGUCAGGGUAAUCAGCUUUUAUCUUUUACAUUCAGCGCGGACAGAUUUAGGGUGUUUUCACACCUGAUUGUCCAGUAGACUCAGUUUGACUCAGGACCAAAAUUACAACAUUUGCUGUAUUUUCAGGUGGUGCAGUUCUCUUUCACACUGCACUGAGUCAAACGAACCAAACCCUUUUUGUCAACCUGUUCCCCUCCUCACCUGUAGGGGCGCUGCAACAAGGACUAUUGAAGGAAACGACACCAAAACCUCUAAAAAAA